AUUGAACGCUGGCGGCAGGCCUAACACAUGCAAGUCGAACGAGUGGCGGACGGGUGAGUAAUGUCUGGGGAUCUGCCCGAUAGAGGGGGAUAACUACUGGAAACGGUAGCUAAUACCGCAUACCAUCGGAUGUACCCAGAUGGGAUUAGCUAGUAUGUGGGGUAAAGGCUCACCUAGGCGACGAUCCCUAGCUGGUCUGAGAGGAUGACCAGCCACACUGGAACUGAGACACGGCCCAGACGCCUACGGGAGGCAGCAGUGGGGAAUAUUGCACAAUGGGCGCAAGCCUGAUGCAGCCAUGCCGAGUGUAUGAAGAAGGCCUUAGGGUUGUAAAGUACUUUCAGCGGGGAGGCGUUACCCGCAGAAGAAGCACCGGCUAACUCCGUGCCAGCAGCCGCGGUAAUAC
rnacentral:rRNA from 1 species